rnacentral:lncRNA from 1 species
UAGCUCUUCAUUGCCGUCAAUUUUGGACACGCCGGCGACAACGAUUAGUCACCGUAUCGGAUAUCAAAAUUGACGGUGCGGCGAAACUUGCGUUAAUUUUCGUAAGAAUCAGUUAAUUGGUAUAGAAUUUUAAUUACAACAGUUUUAUUGUUGAUUUCAGCUUUCCAAAUUUCAGCUUCAAUACUUUCAUUUUGAAGCAGUGAUGAUUGAUUUAAUCUUUAAUUUCGGAUGUUUCUUCAUAACCGAAGAAAUGAAAAUGUAAUUUCCAGUGGAAUUUUUGUUUAGUUAAUGUUACCUCCUGGUUUAUAGCUUUGGAUAACCUUGUUUAUGGCUGAAACUUACAUACAUUUAAGGUUUCAUAUGAAAAUGGAGGCAGAAAAUUAAACAGGUGGUGGAAAUUGAUUUUAGGUUUCAUUGGAGCAGCUGGCAGACUCAGCUUACGAGCUUUUUCUCUCCUGCUGGUAAUUCAUACUUUCCUUAAAUAACUUUAUAGUCUCCCAUUGAUGCAUGCAUUUGAGCAUUUUAAUUUUUUUUCGAAUUAAUUAUUCUUGUGAGUGAAUAUUUCUUUGGUUUUUGAUUAUGAGGUUCAGAAAUCUAUAAUAUGUUGUUAUACAGAAUUGGAGUAAAUAAUUUAUUUACCAUGCUUAUUGCAUUUUGGUUUGGCAGUUCUUUGCUUCAUCGUGGUUGCUGUUAUUGUUACUUUUCUAUGAAAAUUACAUAAUUAGUAAAAUGAUCCUGUUAAUGGAAGGGCUUCUUGAAAAUCUUUGUUCUAGUGUUAACAAUAUUUACCAGCAGAAUGUCCUUGGGUGGGAACUCUUUUCUUUUCCAUUUUCUACUUUUGUUCAUUUUUGGAACCCAUUUUUACAAUGAACUUGGAUAAAAGUUGCAUUUAGAUAGAAAAGGAGUGCUGUUGUUUAUUAGUUUAUAUAUUUAUUUAGAUUUCUGCUGGUCUUAAUUCGAAAUUUUUGCUUUUGUUGUGCUUACAUGCUUCUGGUUGAAAUUUUGGGUCAUUAUUAAAUUGUAACUUGCUAAAUUUCAACUUUCGCUUUUCAGUGAAAAAUUAAGGAGACAUGGGUACUUCCUUGAUUGAUUUUCUCUACAGCUCUACUGAGAUCCUGUGAUUGGCUUCCUCAAGUGUAGGAUAAGUUAAUUGAAAGGUCGCUACGUUUUGUCAAUGUUGAAAGGUUACAAUAAUGCAAUGUUAGUGAGAUGUGCAAAACAAGUUACGCUUUGAAUGUGUCGAAAAUUUCAUUAUUAGUAUAUAUUGCUCCCUCUCUUUUGACCAAAUGAUGUUUUAUAUAAUACAGGUUUUAUUUUUGGAUGAAUGUGCAAAUUUCUAUGUUUUCCUCUUCAUUCAUAGUCAAGGUGGAAUUUUCAUAAUAGAGUUGCAUUUGCCAUUUUCACUUCUUUUUGUUGCUUUAGUUCUCUUCCAUUUGGGCUAGAAUUAUUGAAUUGAGUUUUCACUUUCGCAGGGUCUCUAUAGUAUUAACAUUAGUCAAAGGUUUCCUAAGGAUCUUGGAAAUUUGACAAACUUGGUGAGCUUGAAUCUAUACUUGAACAAUUUAAAUGGUCCAAUUCCACCGACGGUGGGCAAGCUAUCGAACUAUCUUUCCUAUAUGAGCACAAAUCUUUCACAUUACAUUCUUUUGCCUGUCUAUCUAACUUUUGUUACAAUUUUUAGGAUUUAAGUUUCCAUGGGGACUUUUGCCUGACUAUCUAAUUUUUAUAUAAUUCUGUAGCAAUAUGUUGCAUUAUGGAGCUUCUGGUUUGCACACUAUGUUAGGUUUCACUUGUUUGCUUUGGUAUAACUCUGCUUUUUCUUUGGGGUAAGGUCCGAUCAGCAUCCACUAAAAUGGCCACUAAAAUGGCUCCAAAAAAAAAAAGAAUUAUAAUUGGCCAUCUGAGCGAAAUCUGAUACUUGGUGUGUUUUAGCCGAACUGAGAUGUG